rnacentral:rRNA from 1 species
GGGCCCGCACAAGCGGUGGAGCAUGUGGUUCAAUUCGACGCAACGCGAAGAACCUUACCCAGGCUUGAACUGCGAGUGACCACUCACGAAAGUGAGCUUCCGCAAGGACACUCGUAGAGGUGCUGCAUGGCUGUCGUCAGCUCGUGUCGUGAGAUGUUGGGUUAAGUCCCGCAACGAGCGCAACCCUUGUUUGCUGUUGCCAUCAGGUUAUGCUGGGCACUCUGCAAAGACUGCCGGUGAUAAACCGGAGGAAGGUGGGGAUGACGUCAAGUCAGCAUGGCCUUUAUGUCUGGGGCCACACACGUGCUACAAUGGCCGACACAAACCGUCGCGAUACCGUAAGGUGGAGCUAAUCGGAGAAAGUCGGUCUCAGUUCGGAUCGUAGGCUGCAACUCGCCUGCGUGAAGUUGGAAUCGCUAGUAAUCGCGGAUCAGCACGCCGCGGUGAAUACGUUCCCGGGCCUU